AUGGGGCGUCGGGCCAAGCUCUCCUCGCCUCCUGCUGUGCCAGAUGGAGCUUCUUCCUCGACCAUGCAGGCCGCCAAGAAGGUGCCCACACUGAACACGGCGUACAAUGCCGGGCUGCUCCAUUCCAUCGCCGGAGAAUGGAAUCCAAACAUCAAAGGUGUGUUUUCCAGGGUAGGGAUGGAAGAAAUGUGCAAGAUAAAGGAUAUGGGGAACAACAACCGUAUCUUUAGCAUGUCCCUCUUAGCUAGGAUCGAUCCCAAAACCAUGAAGAUGGACAUGGGAGAUGGGGAUUACAUUGAGGUGAACUCUAGGGAGGUAGCAAAGUGCUUAGGGUUGAAUCCAUGUGGUAGGAAGAUAGAUAUCCCGGGCGGCGCUUGCUUAGUAGACCGAGAACGGUUGCUAGAGAACUUGCAUGCGAUCUUAGAGACAAACAUGGCUCGCACUUGUAAGAUUCCUGUGGUUAGAGUUAAGAAAAUCAUCCAGAACGCAAGCAAGGUGGCCAUAGUAGGAGCAGAGAAAGAAAAGAUGAUGGUGGCGUGUACAAUCAUAGCCGCGUCCUUGUUUCUCCUACCUAGGGGAGCACACCCAAAAAUUGCCAAUGAACUGCUGCCCAUGCUAGCUGAGCCAAAUCAAAUCUCCGACUAUGAUUUCUGCGAUUACGUCGUGGAGGGUCUAAGAGAGGGUGCGGCCAAGCUGAGGGAGGAUCUACUACAUGAGCCAGCUCAGCUUAGUCUGCAAGGGUGCCUUGUUGUCCCACAGAUCAUUUUUUGCGAUUACCAUGAGCACAGGAUGGAGGGGGACGCGAGGUGCUGCCAUUCCCUCGGCUAG
rnacentral:rRNA from 1 species